UACAGAGGGGGCAAGCGUUAUUCGGAAUUAUUGGGCGUAAAGGGCGCGUAGGCGGCUUGGCAAGUGGAUGGUGAAAUCCCUCGGCUUAACCGAGGAACUGCCGUCCAAACUGCUUAGCUUGAGACCGGGAGAGGUGAGUGGAAUUCCCAGUGUAGCGGUGAAAUGCGUAGAUAUUGGGAGGAACACCAGUGGCGAAGGCGGCUCACUGGACCGGUACUGACGCUGGGGCGCGAAAGCGUGGGGAGCAAACGGG
rnacentral:rRNA from 1 species